AUGGAGACAGACCUGUACCUCAAGGUCGGCGGCGAGGGCGUCUUCUCAGGACUCCCUGGACGCCUUGCCUCUUCUGCAAGGGAUGCAACACAAGGAGGGUCUCGGGGUUGUUCCAUCAUCGGCCAUGGUAACUGCUGGGCGUGCGGCCGUGCAUGCCGACCAGGAGGCGGCGGCUUCAGCGCAUCAGUGUUGGAGCAGGAGUCGGCGAAGGGAGUGAGGAUUCUGGGGAGGGUGGAGUGUAAGCAGUACAGAACGGGCGAUCGAAAACCGGCGACCACGACGACAUUCAAGCCCAAUCUGCAGUCGCGCUUUUUGGCGGACGAGAUGGAAGCGUUCCAGGAGCGGAUGCUGCAGGAGUUCGCCGCGUUGCGGGCAGCGCAGAACAAGCUGGACGCAGUCGAUGGGAUCCGCGCUCAGCUGGAGGCUCUCGACGCCAAGCUAUCGGAGCAAACAGCGCUGCUGGACCAGGUACAAGUCAAGGUUAAUCUAUCAUGUGAUACGUUGGGGCAGGUGCAGCAGAACCAGAGUCAUGCCGUUCAGAUGCACAAGCGGCAGGAUACUACGGAGGCGUUGUCUCCAACCGCAUCAGAGGUCUCCGACGGCAUUCUGGGGGCAGGGCCGAAGUUACCUGGGCGUCCACCGCCUCGUCCUAUUCAGGUGACUGACACCACGCCUGAGCUUCAACAACCCGGGGCUCCGAUCUGUGACGAGAGCUCCAACAAGCGGCAAUGGAUGCCGAAAAUGGAUUUCCCGCGAUUUGAUGGUACCGAGGUCCGGAUCUGGUUGGACAAGUGUGAGGCCUUUUUCAGAUUGUAUAACAUUCCGGA
rnacentral:rRNA from 1 species